rnacentral:rRNA from 1 species
CUGGCUCAGAACGAACGCUGGCGGCGCGUUUAAGCAUGCAAGUCGAGCGGCAAGGGCCUUCGGGCCCUAGAGCGGCGGACGGGUGAGUAACACGUGGACAAUCUGCCCCCCGGCCCGGGAUAGCCCAGGGAAACCUGGAUUAAUACCGGAUGAGACGGGACCCGCGAUGGCGGGAUCCGGGAAAGGCGCUGCGGCGCCGCCGGGGGAUGAGUCUGCGUCCCAUUAGCUAGACGGCGGGGUAACGGCCCACCGUGGCGACGAUGGGUAGCCGGCCUGAGAGGGUGGACGGCCACAUUGGAACUGAGACACGGUCCAGACUCCUACGGGAGGCAGCAGCUAAGAAUCUUCCGCAAUGGGCGAAAGCCUGACGGAAGCGACGCCGCGUGAACGAAGAAGGCCGUGAGGUUGUAAAGUUCUUUUCGGGAGGGGGAACAACCGUGGCAGGGAAUGGCCGCGGGAUGACGUGAAUCCCGGAAUAAGCCCCGGCUAACUACGUGCCAGCCGCCGC